GUGCUCGCUUCAGCAGCACAUAUACUAAAAUUGGAACGAUACAAAGAAGAUUAGCAUGGCUCCUGCGCAAGGAUGACACGCAAAUUUGUGAAGCGUUCCAUAUUUUU
rnacentral:snRNA from 1 species